CGGAGGGAUCAUUACCGAGUUUACAACUCCCAAACCCCUGUGAACAUACCAAUUGUUGCCUCGGCGGAUCAGCCCGCUCCCGGUAAAACGGGACGGCCCGCCAGAGGACCCCUAAACUCUGUUUCUAUAUGUAACUUCUGAGUAAAACCAUAAAUAAAUCAAAACUUUCAACAACGGAUCUCUUGGUUCUGGCAUCGAUGAAGAACGCAGCAAAAUGCGAUAAGUAAUGUGAAUUGCAGAAUUCAGUGAAUCAUCGAAUCUUUGAACGCACAUUGCGCCCGCCAGUAUUCUGGCGGGCAUGCCUGUUCGAGCGUCAUUUCAACCCUCAAGCCCCCGGGUUUGGUGUUGGGGAUCGGCGAGCCCUUGCGGCAAGCCGGCCCCGAAAUCUAGUGGCGGUCUCGCUGCAGCUUCCAUUGCGUAGUAGUAAAACCCUCGCAACUGGUACGCGGCGCGGCCAAGCCGUUAAACCCCCAACUUCUGAAUGUUGACCUCGGAUCAGGUAGGAAUACCCGCUGAACUUAAGCAUAUCAAUAAGCGGAGGAAAAGAAACCAACAGGGAUUGCCCUAGUAACGGCGAGUGAAGCGGCAACAGCUCAAAUUUGAAAUCUGGCUCUCGGGCCCGAGUUGUAAUUUGUAGAGGAUACUUUUGAUGCGGUGCCUUCCGAGUUCCCUGGAACGGGACGCCAUAGAGGGUGAGAGCCCCGUCUGG
rnacentral:rRNA from 1 species